UACAGUGUUAUUUUCGGAUAAUGCAUCCGAUCUACAGUUGCAAUUAGAUAUCUUCUUUGAAUAUUGCAGUACCUGGAAACUAAAAGUGGACACAAGUAAAAGUAAGAUUAUAUUUUUUUCUGGGGGUAGAUUACCCAAAAAUACUAACUUUAUAUAUGACGGAAAUGCAUUAGAGAUAGUCAAUGAAUUGACAUAUCUUGGGUUGAAUUUUUCAAGAACAGGUAGCUUUAUGAGUGCUAAGAACAUUUUAGUUAGAAAAGCAUAUAAAGCAAUGUAUGAAGUAUUGAAAGAGGGGAGGUUGCACAACUGGUCAUUGAAAUUACAAUAUGAUCUUUUUGAUAAAAUUGUGAAGCCAAUUCUCCUGUAUGGGUGUGAGAUUUGGGGUUUCAGUAAUACUAAUAUCAUAGAAAAAGUGCACCUAAAAUUUUGUAAACUAUUAUUAAACCUUAAGAAGUCGACACCCAAUUUUAUGAUUAAUGGUGAACUUGGUAUUUAUCUCAUGUCUUUAUAUAUACAGCUGCGUAUGGUUAAUUUUUGGUCAAAAAUGGUAAAUGGGGAUGAUAACAGGAUUGCUAAAAUACUAUACAAAUACAUGUUCUUGAAAAAUUCUGACAACCAAUUUAAGUCAGAUUGGUUGAAAUACGUUAAAGAUAUAUUAGAUAAAUGUGGAUACAGCAAUAUAUGGUUGUCACAAGGAAAUUUUAAUUCUAAGUGGUUGGGUAUUAGUUUAAAACAAAAGUUAUUUGAUCAGUUUCAACAGAUAUGGAGAGCUGAUAUUGACUGUUCGUCAAAAGGUUUGGCCUACAAAUUGUAUAAACAAAAUUUUGAGUUUGUGGAAUAUCUGAAUAUUUUAAGUGAUAAAGAUAGAAUAACAUAUUGUAGAUUUCGAACGGGUAACCAUAAGUUACCCAUCGAAACUGGUAGAUGGAAUAAGAUUGAGCGAAACCUUUAGAUAUUGUAACUUAUGUCAUUGUAACGAGAUUGGUGAUGAAUUUCAUUACACUUUGCAGUGUAGUUCAUUGGCAAAUUUUCGAGCACAAUAUUCGGAUACUUUUUUCUUGCACAGAUGUAACAUACUAAAAUUUGAAAAACUAUUUCAGUUAAAAAUAAAAAAUAAGUUGAAAAAGCUGUACAAAUUUAUCAGGGUUAUGACUUUUCAAGUGAGUCUUCCUGGUUUAUCACCACUCUUCUCUACUAUACUGUUUUAUUUAUUUUAUUUGAUAUUUUCAUCUCAUCUUGUCAUGUGUUUGUGUUAUGUUAUAUAACUUGUGAUGAACUUCUUUGUACCAUUGUAACUUUAUGGUGUUUGAGAAAUAAAGAAUCUUGGUGGGGAUGGAAGGGGGGUAAACUGAUUAAAUUAAUAGACAUCACUAUGACUUCCUUUAUAAAGUUAAACUAUUGCAGUAUCACUGACGGGAUAAUUUAAUUAAACCGAGAGAGAUAUAAGAUAUACAACAUGUUUCUCCUGGUAUCAAUAAUGAGUUUAUCUAUAUCAUGUAUGUAUAAUGAGUUCAGCAAUAUCAUUUUUUUGCUAAACUUAAUCUACCACAUUUUACUUUGAAAACUUUGUUUCAUGUUUUGAGCGUAUAUGAUGAAGUUUAUUCGGAAAUUAGUGCGCACAAACAUUAAGUUAUAUAUUAUCUUAUACUUUAGGUGAACAAAUAAUUUUAGUCCCUUGCAGAAUGAAAAUAGUGAAGAUUCUGUGUGCGAUAUUCAUGAUGCUAAUGGCAGUUUUAACAGGAACAGUCAUUGGACGGCCAUGACGCGGGCCACCAAUGGAAGAGCUUUAUCUUACAGAGUACUGCCACCACUUGGAGGGUUUGAAUUCAACAGAGUUAAACGAGAUGACAAUGGCCGUUAUUUGGAUAGAACCGUCGAAUUAUUGAUAAUAACAAAUU
rnacentral:lncRNA from 1 species